UGUUCAGCGGCAAGUAUUACAAUGUGAUUUGGAUCAGAUCAAAAGAUGUUUACAUUGAAGCAUACAUUCCGACCAAUAGAAUAAAGAGAAAAAGAUGAUACAGUGAAAAACAGGAAAUAUUUGAAAGGGUAAACAUUUCUUUUUUAAAUAUGAUAGACUUAUUAUGAUAAUUUCCAUCCGGAAAUUAGUAUACCUCAUUUCAUAUUUAUUGUUACAAAAUUUGCUUUACAAAUAAAUUCUAUAAAAUUUCAGAUAAAUAGUGUUUGAAAUAAACAAUACAAAGAAAAACUAAGUUCGGUAAUUGAGAACAAAGAGUCAAUUCAUAUAACAAAAGAGGGAUGUAUAUGUACGUAGCCACACAUUGGGCUGACUGAGCUUUAAUUUAUUCAAAUUUGGCAACUUUCUUUCAAAUAUUUUACAAUAAUAAAAGAGAACUUGUGGCAUGAUCGCCAAUGAGAUAACUUUGUACAAGAGAUCAAAGUGCAUUAGAUGAGUACUUUAAAGUGUCUCUUGUCCUCUACAUCAGGAAUACUGAUACCAGCAUUUUUUUAUUAGAAAAUACUUACUUACAGAUUGUUGUUUAAAGUAUAUUUAUUUCUUAGUUAUAAUUUAUAUCAAUUUCUGGUACCUUUAUAAUCAGUGAUAUUGUUGUCUUUUUUCAAAACUACCUCUACCGUUUUUUAUUGGGAAAAUUGCAUAUUUUUUAUUGAAAUUUUUGUAUAUUUUUGAUUCUAAACACAUCUCCGAUUUUGUGCUGACCUUUGCUGUCUUUUUUGCAGUUUUUUUCAUGUAUAUUUUGGUUGUCCGACAUUUUCAACCUGAAAGGUACUUUUCGGAGAGGGGAGUGAAACCAAAACAAUGAUGGUACUUAAUGCAUUGAAAACCAUGUGUCUUACAAACACCAUGAUGAUUCUGAUCAGAAAACUGGAUCUCAAAAGUGCUUUCUAAUAUCAAAAUAAUAACAUGAAUACGAAAUUUACAAACAUUACUACCAAUGCCAUCACUGUUUUGGGAAAAUGUAAAAAAUUUUGGGAGGAAUUUUAAGCCAUUUUUUUUAGUAAUUGGGAAUUUUCUCUAGGGGAAAAAGCCGAAUUUCGGCUGUAAUUUGAGGCAAACAAUAUCACUGAUAAUAUACUUUUGAUAUAUCUCCAUUUGUUUUAUUUUAAUGUUUUAUAGAUACAGCUAUUAUUUCAUAUUGGACAAUGUUCAGCGGCAAGCAUUACAUUGUGAUUUGGAUCAGAUCAAAAGAUGUGGACAUUAAAGCAUACAUUAGGAACCAUAGAAUAAAGAGAAAAAGAAAUUACAGUGAAAAACAGGAAAUAUUUGAAAGGGUA
rnacentral:lncRNA from 1 species